rnacentral:rRNA from 1 species
CCUACGGGUGGCAGCAGUGAGGAAUAUUGGUCACUGGCCGGAAGGCUGAACCAGCCAUGCCGCGUGAAGGUCAGUGCCCUAUGGGCGUUAAACUUCUUUUGUGCGGGAACAAUAAUGGUCACGUGUGGCCAGACGAGAGUACCGUACGAAUAAGCAUCGGCUAACUCCGUGCCAGCAACCGCGGUGAUACGGGGGAUGCAAGCGUUAUCAGGAUUUAGUGGUUUUAAAGGGUGCGUAAGCUGGGAGGUAAGUCAGCGGUGGAAUGCCCCCGCUCAACGGGGUGAAGUGCCAUUGAUACUACCUUGCUUGAAUGCAGAUGACGUGGGAGGAAUG